rnacentral:rRNA from 1 species
UACGUAGGGGGCAAGCGUUGUCCGGAUUUACUGGGCGUAAAGAGCGUGUAGGCGGCCAAGCAGGUCCGUUGUGAAAACUGGAGGCUUAACCUCCAGACGUCGACGGAAACCGCGUGGCUAGAGUCCGGAAGAGGAGAGUGGAAGUUCCUGGUGUAGCGGUGAAAUGCGCAGAUAUCAGGAAGAACACCAAUGGCGAAGGCAGCUCUCUGGGACGGUACUGACGCUGAGACGCGAAAGCGUGGGGAGCGAACAGG